UGGGGAAUAUUGCACAAUGGAGGGAACUCUGAUGCAGCGACGCCGCGUGAACGAAGAAGGCUUUCGAGUCGUAAAGUUCUUUUAUAUGGGAAGAUAAUGACGGUACCAUAAGAAAAAGCCCCGGCUAAUUACGUGCCAGCAGCCGCGGUAAUACGUAAGGUCCGAGCGUUGUCCGGAAUCAUUGGGCGUAAAGGGUACGUAGGCGGAUAAGCAAGUUAGAAGUGAAAUCCUAUAGCUCAACUAUAGUAAGCUUUUAAAACUGCUCAUCUUGAGGUAUGGAAGGGAAAGUGGAAUUCCUAGUGUAGCGGUGAAAUGCGCAGAUAUUAGGAGGAAUACCGGUGGCGAAGGCGACUUUCUGGCCAUAUACUGACGCUGAGGUACGAAAGCGUGGGUAGCAAACAGG
rnacentral:rRNA from 1 species